UAAGCGGAGGAAAAGAAACUAACAAGGAUUCCCCUAGUAACUGCGAGUGAAGCGGGAAAAGCUCAAAUUUAAAAUCUGGUGGCCUUUGGCCACCCGAGUUGUAAUUUAGAGAAGCGUCUUCCGCGCCGGACCGUGCACAAGUCUCCUGGAAUGGAGCGUCAUAGAGGGUGAGAAUCCCGUCUUUGGCAUGGAUCCCCGGUGCUUCUGUGAUGCGCUCUCGAAGAGUCGAGUUGUUUGGGAAUGCAGCUCAAAAUGGGUGGUGAACUCCAUCUAAAGCUAAAUAUUGGCGAGAGACCGAUAGCGAACAAGUACCGUGAGGGAAAGAUGAAAAGCACUUUGGAAAGAGAGUGAAACAGUACGUGAAAUUGUUGAAAGGGAAACGCUUGAAGUCAGUCGCGUCGACCGAGACUCAGCCUUGCCUCGGCUUGGUGUACUUCUCGGCCCGACGGGUCAGCGUCAAUUUUGCCCCUCGGAUAAUGGCAAGGGAAAGGUGGCACCUUUACGGGUGUGUUAUAGUCUCCUGUCGCAUGCGAGGGGUGGGAUUGAGGAACUCAGCGCGCACCUUGGUGUCGGGGCUUCUGCCCACGUCACGCGCUUAGGAUGCUGGCGUAAUGGCUUUAAACGACC
rnacentral:rRNA from 1 species